rnacentral:rRNA from 1 species
CGGGGUGGAGUAACGCGUGGGUAACCUGCCUCAUACAGGGGGAUAACGAUUGGAAACGAUUGCUAAUACCGCAUAAGCGCACAGUACCACAUGGUACAGUGUGAAAAACUCCGGUGGUAUGAGAUGGACCCGCGUCUGAUUAGCUAGUUGGUGAGGUAACGGCCCACCAAGGCAACGAUCAGUAGCCGACCUGAGAGGGUGACCGGCCACAUUGGGACUGAGACACGGCCCAG